UCUUCUACUUUUCUGAAGUAGAACUGACACCACCACCACACCAUCCCCCAAAAUAAGCCAACUGUGGGAUUCUGGAGAAAAAUUACUUGGCGUGCAAAGUAAACCAGUAAGGCUGUGAUGCAGGGAAAGUCCCUGUACCAUGUUUACAGAGGAACUCUGUGAGGAUGACUGUGGUGUCAAUGCACUAGGCCUGUGGAUGUCUGUGCCAUGGAAGAACAUCCAGCUUUAGUCCUUAGAAGAAAGAAACUUGAAACCUGCCACAGAAAUGGAUCAUAUUCCUCAAGUCUCACUCCUUGGGCUAGAAGAGAUCUUUAAGAGGUCUUUUAGGAACCUCUCUGACUCAAGAACUGAUGUGCCUAAGGGGAAGUCUAACAGAGGAGACACUUUGCCAUUUGGGAAAUUCUCACUUUCCUACAUAGUUGGGAUAUGGUCUUCUGCUCUCUUUCUCUGGGUUUAAUUGAGGGGCAAGGCAAUGUCUAUGAAAAGAGCUAUCAACCAGAUGUAUCCCCUCCAAAAUUCAGAUGUUGAAACUUAAUGGCCAAUGUGAUGGUAUUAAGAGGUAGGGUUUUUAAGAAGUAACUAAAUUAUGAAGUCUUCUCCCCUGAUCAUGAAUGAGAUUAAGGCCCUUAUAAAAGAGGACACAGUGUUCAAGGCACCAUCUUGGAGGCAGAGACUGAAUCCUUGCAACAAACCUUUCAGCUCCCUGAUCCUGGACUUCCCAGCCUCCAGAACUAUGAGCAAUAAAUUUGUGUUCGUUAUAAAUUACACAUACCAGGUAUUUUGUUAUAGCAGCACAGACAGACUAAGGCAGAUGUCUUCAGCUCUCCUCUUUUGGAUUGAGUUGCAAGGCAAUCUUGAUGAACAGAACCCAAGCUUUGGAGCCAGACAACCUUAAGUGAGAUCUUCACUUUUGAGCA